rnacentral:rRNA from 1 species
CCUGAGAAACCCAAAAGAUCGAAUGGGGAGAUUCAUCGUCAACGAUGUUGGCUUCCGUGUGGUUCGCGAUGGCCGGGUUUCGGCCCAGUGUCACGCGACCGCUGCGGCAUGUCCGGCGUCGUCGUCGUGCACUUCUCCCCUAGUAGGACGUCGCGACCCGUUGGGUGCCGGUCAAAGGCCCGGUCGGUCGACUGUCGCGUCGCGUUCACGCGCGCUCGCGGCAGACCACCGGUCGCUCGGCCGGCUGCUCGGCGGUAUUAAUCGCUUAUAAUAAACGGUAUUGGGCCGCAGAAAGUGCGUUCUGGCUCGUCGGCAGGCUCGUCUCGCUCGGAUUUACGGACCUCGUUGCCGUUGCCGGGUGCUUGGCGUGGCCGUUAGUCGACGAUGUCCUCGGACUGGCUCUCAUAUUCGAACGGAUAUACCGGUCGGCGACGCUACUGCUUUGGGUACUUUC